UAUAAUUCAUGUUCACGAUUCAUAUUCAACAAUGGGAAAACCCAUUUUCGGGGUGUUUCGUUAUUUCAUUGUUCAAAUACGUGAAAUGAAAUUGAGAGCACGGACUCGUCACCUUAUGCUAUUCUCAACUUUGAAAAUGAAAGUUGAACAAGGAUGUAUAUCAUUGUCCAAAUAGGCGAACGCACGGAACCGUCACCUUAUACCAUUCUCAACUUGGAAAAUGAAAAUUGAAACAAGGAAGUUGGGAGACAGGGGAAAGUGUCAAAAUAAAAGUUGCGUACGUCGUUAUGUCUGUCCGGUGCCAGACCGACGGGGAUGCCGAUGGACGCCUAAUCACGCCAGCACGCCGGCGAAAGAAGUUGUUCCAGCAGUAGCCUACCCGAGAAGCUCAGCAGUGCCAUUCAUAGAAUCGCUCAUCUAGCAAUACCAAGAAAGUACUUAAAACCGAGCUGAAGAUGGCAAGCCCAAGUUGGUAAACCCAAAUACCCCAGCAGGGUGUCAGAAGUCCACACUGAUGUCCACCAAGGAGGCCCGCAUCUAUAUCUACUGGGAGAAGAGGAUCACAUUACCAACACCUCAAAAGGAGCUGAUU